rnacentral:lncRNA from 1 species
UUCCGAAGGAGGUUCAUGAAUUAAGAAGAAAAAAAGUUCGAAAAAAACAAAUUGAAGAAAAAAUGUAUUCUUAUAUUUGAAGUAAAAAAAUUCGAGAUUAAAAAAAAUACGAAGUAUAAAAAAUUUCGUGUAUUAAAAAAAAGUGAAGUCUUGGAAAUCUCUGAUGUUCCUUCUUAUUUUCUGAUCAAGCAAGGUUUUAUCUUUCAUUCCUACCUACCACAUUUAAAACUGAUUUUAUUUUUG